rnacentral:lncRNA from 1 species
CAGGGAUGCCAUUCUUAUAUGCUGCUCUGUUCCGGCACUGGAAGGCUCAGAAGCUUAAGCUGUCGUGUGCUUGAUGAACUGGGGAAUGGAUGGACCAAGGUAUUUAUAGGCCGCUUCUUGGGUCUCCCAAGUGUGCAGAGUACAAAUCCUACAUGAAGCAAGAAUAAAGGCUUCCUGAAUUAUUGUAGCAAGUGAUUGAUGGCACGGUGCAGUUGGAUGCUUCUUACAGAAUUGGAUGCCUUGUAGCCUGGCAGGAGGUGCAACUUACCGGACGCGAAGUUUUCCAUUCGAAAUGUUUGAGGUAUAUUAUUCCCUGAGUCAUUAACGCACAAUGGCACCAGGAAGCUUCCGAAGGUUUGCUGCCUGGUUUCUGUUGGUGUCUGGAUGAUCUCUCCCCCUCCGACGUAGGGGACACGGCUAUAGCUUGUGUUGCGUUUGGCAAGUUGCCAUGACGUCUUUUUUGUUUUUUUUUCGUUGAUCCUAUGGGAUUUAUAAUAAUUAAGUUGCAUGUGUCAAGGGUGUCUUGUACAGUACUUUGUUUCAAACUCCCUCCGUCCCAUUACGUCCUAAAUUAUAGGACGGAGGGAGUAGUUACUAAAUAUUAGACGGAGUAGUUCCUAAAUAUUUGUUUUUUUAGAGAUUUCAAAUAGACUACCACAUACCUAUGAAUAUAGACAUAUUUUAAAGUGUAGAUUCACUUAUUUUGUUUUAUUUUGUUUUGUAUGUAGCCAUUUGUUGAAAUCUCUAGAAAGACAAAUAUUUAGGAAUGGAGAGAGUACUCUGUUUCAUACUCCCUCCGUCCCAUU